rnacentral:rRNA from 1 species
UACAUUAGAUACCCCGGUAGUCCUAGCCGUAAACGAUACUCGCUAGGUGUCGGCCACGGUGCGACCGUUGUCGGUGCCGUAGGGAAGCCGUGAAGCGAGCCACCUGGGAAGUACGGCCGCAAGGCUGAAACUUAAAGGAAUUGGCGGGGGAGCACAACAACGGGUGGAGCUUGCGGUUUAAUUGGAUUCAACGCCGGAAAUCUUACCGGGACCGACAGCAACAUGAAGGCCAAGCUGAAGACUUUGCCGGAUUAGCUG